rnacentral:tRNA from 1 species
GGAAAAGUAACCUGAUUGGUUAAGGUGGUAUCCUGCUAAGAUAUGGCACUUAUUAGUGCUUGUGGGUUCGAGUCCCUCCUUUUCCG